GAUGAACGCUGGCGGCGUGCCUAAUACAUGCAAGUCGAGCGAACAGACUCGGAGUUUCCUCCUCUGUCGUUUGCCGCGGACGGGUGAGUAACACGUGUAUACCCUACUUCUAAUCCUGGGAUAACUUCGAGACACCGGAGCUAAUCCCGGAUAAUAUAUUUAACCGCAUUGUUCAAUAGUGAAAUUCGGUUUUGCUGGAACUUAUAGCUGAUUUCCCGCCGGAUUAGCUAGUUGGUAAGGUAACGGCCUACCAAGACAACGAUGCGUAGCCGACCUGAGAGGGUGAUCGGCCACAUUGGAACGUGGACACGGUCAAUACGCCUACGGGAGGCAGCAGUAGGGAAUCGUACGCAAUGGGCGGAAGCCUGACGGAACAGCGCCGCGUGAGUGAUGAAGGUGUUCGGAGCGGAAAACUCUGUUAUGAGGGAAGAACAAAUGUGUAAGUAACUGUGCACGUAGUGACGGUACCUGAUCAAAAAGCAACGGCUAACUACGUG
rnacentral:rRNA from 1 species